UCCGUAGGUGAACCUUGCGGAAGGAUCAUUACCGAGUGCGGGUCCUUUGGGCCCAACCUCCCAUCCGUGUCUAUUGUACCCUGUUGCUUCGGCGGGCCCGCCGCUUGUCGGCCGCCGGGGGGGCGCCUCUGCCCCCCGGGCCCGUGCCCGCCGGAGACCCCAACACGAACACUGUCUGAAAGCGUGCAGUCUGAGUUGAUUGAAUGCAAUCAGUUAAAACUUUCAACAAUGGAUCUCUUGGUUCCGGCAUCGAUGAAGAACGCAGCGAAAUGCGAUAACUAAUGUGAAUUGCAGAAUUCAGUGAAUCAUCGAGUCUUUGAACGCACAUUGCGCCCCCUGGUAUUCCGGGGGGCAUGCCUGUCCGAGCGUCAUUGCUGCCCUCAAGCCCGGCUUGUGUGUUGGGUCGCCGUCCCCCUCUCCGGGGGGACGGGCCCGAAAGGCAGCGGCGGCACCGCGUCCGAUCCUCGAGCGUAUGGGGCUUUGUCACAUGCUCUGUAGGAUUGGCCGGCGCCUGCCGACGUUUUCCAACCAUUCUUUCCAGGUUGACCUCGGAUCAGGUAGGGAUACCCCGCUGAACUUAAGCAUAUCAAUAAAGCGGAGGA
rnacentral:sRNA from 1 species